UUUGUACUGGACCAACUGCAAUUUACCUUUGUCCUUCUUUGCCGCACAUGACCACACAGGUGGGCAGUAGUCCAGGUGAAACUACACAUGACCACACAGGUGGGCAGUAGUCCAGGUGAAACUACACAUGACCACACAGGUGGGCAGUAGUCCAGGUGAAACUACACAUGACCACACAGGUGGGCAGUAGUCCAGGUGAAACUACACAUGACCACACAGGUGGGCAGUAGUCCAGGUGAAACUACACAUGACCACACAGGUGGGCAGUAGUCCAGGUGAAACUACACAUGACCACACAGGUGGGCAGUAGUCCAGGUGAAACUACACAUGACCACACAGCUGGGCAUUAGUCCAGGUGAAACUACACAUGACCACACAGCUGGGCAUUAGUCCAGGUGAAACUACACAUGACCACACAGCUGGGCAGUAGUCCAGGUGAAACUACACAUGACCACACAGGUGGGCAGUAGUCCAGGUGAAACUACACAUGACCACACAGCUGGGCAUUAGUCCAGGUGAAACUACACAUGACCACACAGCUGGGCAGUAGUCCAGGUGAAACUACACAUGACCACACAGCUGGGCAGUAGUCCAGGUUCGACAAAAAUAUGACUUUGUAAGACUUUGUGGCUCUGCCGGCUAGUGACCACUUUGCAGAGCUGCCUCCAGGGCAAAAGGUAUGA